GACAAUGGGCGCAAGCCUGAUCCAGCAACGCCGCGUGAGGGAUGAAGGCCCUCGGAUUGUAAAGCUCUGUCGUACGGGAAGAAGAGCCAGGGGAUGAUAUCCCCAGGUCAUGACGGUACCGUAAGAAUAAGCCCCGGCUAACUACGUGCCAGCAGCCGCGGUAAUACGUAGGGUGCAAGCGUUGUACUCGGAAUUAUCUGGGCGUAAAGCGUGCGCAGGCGGUUU
rnacentral:rRNA from 1 species